rnacentral:rRNA from 1 species
UACGAAGGGUGCAAACGUUGCUCGGAAUCAUUGGGCGUAAAGCGCACGUAGGCGGCUUCGCAAGUCGGAUGUGAAAUCCCUCGGCUCAACCAAGGACGUGCAUCCGAAACUGCAAAGCUUGAGUACAGAAGAGGAUCGCGGAAUUCCCGGUGUAGAGGUGAAAUUCGUAGAUAUCUGGAGGAACACCGGUGGCGAAGGCGGCAUCCUGGACCAAUAUUGACGCUGAGGAGCGAAAGCCAGGGGAGCAAACGGG